rnacentral:rRNA from 1 species
UACCGAGUUUUUACAACUCCCAAACCCCAUGUGAACCUUACCAAUCGUUGCUUCGGCGGAAUCGCCCCGCGGCCCUCCGGGGCCCGGAGCCAGGCGCCCGCCGAGGACCCAAAACUCUUCUGUAUUUUUCAGUUGUAUCUUCUGAGUGGAUCUAAACAAAUGAAUCAAAACUUUCAACAACGGAUCUCUUGGUUCUGGCAUCGAUGAAGAACGCAGCGAAAUGCGAUAAGUAAUGUGAAUUGCAGAAUUCAGUGAAUCAUCGAAUCUUUGAACGCACAUUGCGCCCGCCAGUAUUCUGGCGGGCAUGCCUGUUCGAGCGUCAUUUCAACCCUCAAGCUCCGCUUGGUGUUGGGGACCGGCCGCAGCCCUAGCGCUCCGCCGCCCCCCAAAUACAGUGGCGGUCCCGCCGCAGCCUCCUUUGCGUAGUAGUAAACCACCUCGCACACGGAACGCAGCGCGACCACGCCGUUAAACCCCAACUCUCUGAAGUUUGACCUCGGAUCAGGUAGGAAUACCCGCUGAACUUAAGCAUAUCA